AAUGUGCGUGUGCGCGGCCCUCGAGCACCGCCUGCGCGGCGCCGAUUGGCCGGGGGCGCGCGGCGGGGGAAGCCCUUGGCUAAUCUCCUGCCACUCAGCCCGGUCGACGUCGGCGCCGGGGCCGCAGCGCGGCGCGCGGAAGGACAAAUAGUCCCCGCGGCGGCACCGCGCGCCCCUCCACGGCUCGCCUCGCCCCGCCCGGGGCUGCCGGGGCCCGGAGGCCCGGGCAGGCAGGGGGAGGGGCGGCCUCUGCGGCUGCUCGACCCCCGCUCCCCUCUUCGCGGCCUGAUGAGUGGAUUGCCCUCCCUUGGGAAAAGUAAUUGGAUUCCCGGCUCCCUCCAGCCGGGAUGGGCGGAAAUCGGAGGCUGAGCGUGCAGGCCCCGGUAGAAAGCUGGGUGGUAAGGAAGGAUCAACGGAGGUUACCCCUGGUGCCGCAACCACCUGGCACGUGACUCUUGCCCCUCCAAGUUGUCAUCAUUCUGAAAUUCACCUGGCUGCUGAUCUCCGGGAAGAGAGAUACUUUGGAACGUUUGGGUCUUCCAGCCACCACCGCCUCGUUUUUCUCUCAGAGCUCUACUUGGAGCUAAGAUGGAGAAAGAGCCCUGACAAAUCUGGGAUCGGAGAUAAUUCUUGCUAACGGGGGUACCUCGGGAGAAAAUAACAUUCUCACCAGAAUCAUCCAGGAAGGUAUCUCAGGUCCUUGCUUUAGUAUUAGCGAACUUCCCUAAAUUGUUUUUCCUCUGGGGAGAUGGAGCAGAAGUGGGAGCCUUAAGCAGUUUAUGGCCGAAAUGAUAGUAGUGUACUAGGAAUUUAAGUGACUAACUCAUCCCUCUUGUGAUUUUUUUUUUCGCCUUAUUUACUGUACUUCACUCAUUCAUUCGUCUUCAAACAAGCUUUAAUUGGGGGCUUUCUAUGUGCCAUUCUCUGAUGUACUUCCCAGAGAUACAUCAGUGAAUAAAGGAAGUCCCUGCACUCAUGGAAUCUCAUUACAUUUCAGACAAUACAUGUACAAACAUAUACAAUAUAAUGUCACGUAGUGAUGAAUGCCAUGAGGACAAAACAGAGUAAAAGGACAAAGAUACAGGUGAGAGUAGUAGAGUAGUGUACUACUUUAGGUAAAUUGAUCUAGAAAGUCCUCUUUGAUGAAGUUAUGUUCAAAACAGCGGUCUGAAUGAAAUAAGGGAGAAAGCCAAGCAAAUGUCUGGGGGAAGGAACUUUCCAGGCAGAGAAAAGAACAAGUACAAAGGCUCUCAGGCCAGAGUGAUUGGGGAGCUUGAAUUAGUGGGAAGAAAGGAGGCUAACAUGAAUGCUAUGCAAUGAGCAGGAAAACAGAGAUGGUCCUUCUGACGUCCUUCUUCCUCUGCUCCGAUCUAACCCAUCAGAAUAAUCAUUCUAAAUCUUCAUUUUUUGUACAUCUCUUUGUGCUUUGAUAGUUUCAUGGCUAUAUUUUCUAUUCCAUUAAAUUUAAAUUCUUCUGACUGAUUGUUAAGGUCUUUCCCCAAUCUAGUUCCCUCUUAACCUGUGAACCAUGUUUCAGUCUACUCCUUUAGUUCUAGUUAGGUCUGUCUCUCAGGUAUAUUCAUGUUCACUUAUUCUUAUGUAUAUUUGUUUAUGGAUCUACCCUCACACAACAGUAUUGAUUCAGUAAGGAUGUAUGGUUGCAAGUAACAUAAAAUCCAACUCAAACUGGCUUAAAUAGAAAAGGGAAUUUAUUGGCUCACAUAACUGAAUACUUCAAGAUAGUUUUGUUAGACAUGGCUUGGCUGAAGAGUUCAAAUUAUGUUGUCAAGAUUUGGAUUCUCCCUGACAUGUUAGCUCUUUGCUCUGCUGUUGGCUUCAUUCUCAAGCCCCACAAAUGAACAACCAGCAACUCUAAGCUCACACUAUCCUCACUACCAGCAAAGGUGAAGAACCUAUUCCUAAACCAAUCACUGUUGCUAGAGAAAGAGAUGCUCAGAUUGGCUUGCACUGAUUGACAAGCCCAUCUCAAAAGUUGAGUCUAUCAGUAACACAUGAAUGGCACAAGAAGGUGCUUUUAGGAAAAUAGGAGUAUGGUUAACAGAGGAAGGUUAGAUAUGUCCUGGGUAAUGAGAACAGCAGACAUACCACACACCCCUGUUCUUCUCUUGAUUCUUCUCAAACAUUCUUCCACUACAUACGCCUUCAAAAUGUUUAUGCCUAUUCAAUGCAAUAAUAUUAUUUACCACCAAAAAUAUGCUCACUUCCUCCCCAAAGAGAGAUGAUCCAAAUUCUCAUGUAGUUACUGAAGAUAACUCCCAAGUGCAGGACAGGAGGGUAAUAAGCAUGUUUCUCUAUUAUACAACAAUAUAGUUCCUCAAGGUCUAGUAACCUAAGGCUACAAGAUAAAAUUAGCUACAAAAAAAAAAAAUAGCUACAAAAUACUUAAUACAUAAUGACAGAAAAAGAAAAAACCUGCAACAAAAACUCAUAUUUGGAAAAAUGACUAAUGGCAAACACAUAGUGGUCUUUAAUUCAUAGCAUAUAUCAUGCUGGACAGAAACACCAAGGGCUUCCUACCAUGAGAGAGGAGAAAGUUCUUUGAUCAACACAUCUGGCUGCCAUAUGUUCAACUAUUGGAGAAUCUCUCAUCCAUUGUUCCUCCAUGCCAUAUCUGUAAUGGACAGUGGGGAGUAUAAUCCUUCUAGGGACCACACCUCUUCAACAUUCUCUUUCCUGAUAUAGUGGCAAUUGAAAAAAAAAAAACAACAAAUUUGCUAUUACAGAGAUAAUUAACUUUUACUACCAAAUAGCUGUGAUCCUCUUCUGUUAUGUAGAAUUGUUGCUAGGAAGUAGCUGCAUAGGCAGGGACUACAUUCUCCAGCUUCUAUUAAUCUUGGCAAAGUCUUACAAUUAUCUCCUUUGGAAUAUGAGUGGAAGUGACAUGAAUCCCUUCUUGCCAAUGUGGUUAAGAACUCGGUAUGUCUUCUAUGGUUUCUUUUUCUUCCUCUAGCUGCACUGAGAGGACGCUAAGACCCUAGAGAAUAGUCUUAAGAGAGCCAUGAGAUAGAAGGAGUCUGGGUAGCUGAAUGACCUUGUAGAAGGCCACUUUCUAAUCAGGAAUACCGAUAUCGGACUUUGCAAAAGUGAAAAAUAAACAUCGGUAGUGUUAAGCCAAUCAAACUUCUGCACUAUGUGUUACAACACUUAGUGCUAACCCUAAUAACUAGCCUUUAUUCUCCAGACUUAGGAUUUCUCUCACCAUACAAUUUAUUUUACUUUUUUUUUUUUUUUUAAGUAGGCUCUAUGCCCAAUGUGGGUCUUGAACUCAUGACCCUGAGACCAAGAGUCCCAUGCUCUGCAGACAGCCCGCCAGGUGCCACAAUUUUCGUUACUUCUUACUAAGCUUCCAGUCUAUUUGCAUUUGGCCAAUUUCAUGGGGAAGAAAACCUCCAAAGCUAGAUGUUAUCUUAAGCUGCAGUCUUUGCAUCUAGAUUCCAAUACGGGUAUUUUUAUCUUUCCAUAAUACGCCUUGUUAUACUCCUUACUUAGUGGCCUCCAUUUUGGUUUCUGCCUGAGAAUGAUUUGAAACAAUAGCUACUGAAAAAAUAAAAUGAAAAAAAAUAAUAAUAGCUACUAGUUUUGCAAGGGGGGACAUGGGCAUAGUGGUGCUGGAGGGAGUAGAAUGGGAUAAUUAUUACCUUUCUAAGCAGGCAGGAAUUGCUUGAGAGAGGCCUGGGUGUGUUCAGACCUCUCCAAAGUGCCAGUCUUUUCCCUUUCUUGCCUUCAUUGGCAUUAAAAUUCUCCUGGGGCUUUUCCAACUCUAAUGGCUCCAGAUUAUUGAAAUUUCUGUCAUAUUUGACUGAGCCCUUAGCAAAAAUGGUCACUUAUAAUAAAGCAGUAUUUUUCCCUCUCAGGCUUAGAUAAAUCAAGCUCAAUCCUAAACUUGAGUCUUUCUUAUAGGACCUAACUGAAAACCAACAGGCCAACAUGUAAUAGUUGGUGUACUCUAGUAUCUGACCUUUUAGUGACAUUUUUUACAUUUCAUACUUGAUAGGCACAUGUUUUGAAUUCUAAUAUACAACAGGUGCCACUUUAAUGUACUACUUUGCUAUUGAAUUCCCAACCCAAUAUAGAUGAGGCCUCAUCUGAAUCAACUGAUUCAACAUUUUAAGAUCUUUCACUUACUAAUCCCCAGUUCUGAUACCAAUUUGUGAAUUGUUAGAGCUAUUUUAGUUGCAGGUGACAAAAUAAAAAACACAAACUGACUUAUACAAAAAAUAUAUUGGCUAUCGGCUCACAUAGCUAAGGAACUAGUGAUAUAUUUAGCUUAAGGCAUAGCUUGAUCCAAGGGCUUAAGCAAUGUCAUUAGAAUUCUAUUUCGUUUCAUCUCUUGGCUCUGUCUUCUGUGUUGGCUUCAUUCUCAGGCUCCAUAUGGUGGCUCCUGGCAGCUCCAGUUCACAUAAUCCUUACUGUUAGGAAUCUCAGUGGAAGAGUACAUGCCUUUUUCCCAGAAGUGCCAGCAAUAAUCUCCUUAUAUUUUAUUGGCUUUGAUUAGGACAUGUGACCAGAAGAAUGACUACUCAUGUUGUUAAGAGUGGAGUCCAGUCUCCCUAAAAGACGUUGACUGAGAGUAAUAGAGGAAAAUAGGGUAUGGUUAUCAAAAGAGUGAAUGCUGAGUGGCAAAAAACCAAAUGUCUCUCAUUAGAUACCAAUGUGUAGCGAUUCCUAAUUGCUUCACAUGUGUUGGUUUUAUCUCCUUCAGUGGACUGUAAGUCUCUCUGGAGCAGGAUCAUGUAUUAUAUGUCUUAACAGUGCCAGCCCAGCAGGCAGUCCUUAGAUACUGGCUGAUUGAUUGCCUCUUCGUGGCACACCAAAGAGGGUAAAAAGAGCUUAAUAAAAGGAUGAUUAACAGAGAUGUGGGAAGGGUUAAGGGAACCCACUAGCAAUGGUAAAGCACUUAACUGGUAACAGUGAGAAGACUUAAGCCUGAAGGAGCAGGGGAAAGGAAAUUUUAAGCGCUAUAGUUUAGAAGGGGAUGUCUGACAAACACUGUGACUAUAAAUAGAGAAAUGCAGCCACUGCCAAUGUGGCCCAGGAGGGGACUGGGAAGUAAACACUUGUCCUCUUUUCCCCCAAUCUCCAGACUUCUGUUGGUACCUCGCAUUGGCCAAACUCAAACAGAAGCUAUAGGGCUUGGAUGAUAGAUAAAGUCUGUAGAGGUCAGCCUUCAGUAUAGAGCAAGGCAAAUAGGGUGAAAGAUGAGUCUGGAGGAGCAAAUGGAAAAUAACCAGGACAUCCUUGUUAUAUUCCUUAGAGCAACCCUCAAUAAAAACCACUCCUGUUUUGUAAGUGUUAACCAUAUAGCCUGAUUUCCCAAGAAAAUAUAAUUUUAUCUUUUCCAAUACAUUUGUUAAAUAUAUAACUAAUGUGGCUUAAUUUUUAUAGCAUUUUAAGACUCUAACAUUCAUGAAUUCAUAAAGCAUGAAAAAUCUUUUGUUAGCCUAUGUAAUUAAAAAACUCUCAUCAUUGUAUUGAUAUGGAACUCCUCAAGAAUAUUGUACCUGGUAAUCCAUCAGAAAGCCCUGGCACAGAACUUAUCAAAUAGUGACAAAUUUGAUAAAUGUUUGAUGAUUUGAAGAAUGAUUAAAUGAAUAAAUUAAAGCAUUUAGAGCCAGACUCUAAGUGGGAAACUAGAUAGGUUUUCCUUGUUCAAGGUUGAUGCUAACUAUAUAACACCUACCAAUCCUGUCUCUUAAAGUCUGACAUUGGCUUCUUAGCUGUUGAUCAAGGUCUUAUCUCAUAGAAAAUGGAACUGCAAUAAAUUUUCUUCGUCAACCUUUAGAAGUAAGAAGUUUUAUAAUUAACUGCCAUGCUAAUAAACUCACUAUAAAGUCCA